rnacentral:rRNA from 1 species
AUUGAACGCUGGCGGCAUGCCUUACACAUGCAAGUCGAACGGCAGCGCGGAGCUUGCUCUGGUGGCGAGUGGCGAACGGGUGAGUAAUAUAUCGGAACGUACCCUAGAGUGGGGGAUAACGUAGCGAAAGUUACGCUAAUACCGCAUACGAUCUAAGGAUGAAAGUGGGGGAUCGCAAGACCUCAUGCUCGUGGAGCGGCCGAUAUCUGAUUAGCUAGUUGGUAGGGUAAAAGCCUACCAAGGCAUCGAUCAGUAGCUGGUCUGAGAGGACGACCAGCCACACUGGAACUGAGACACGGUCCAGACUCCUACGGGAGGCAGCAGUGGGGAAUUUUGGACAAUGGGCGAAAGCCUGAUCCAGCAAUGCCGCGUGAGUGAAGAAGGCCUUCGGGUUGUAAAGCUCUUUUGUCAGGGAAGAAACGGUGAAAGCUAAUAUCUUUUGCUAAUGACGAUACCUGAAGAAUAAGCACCGGCUAACUACGUGCCAGCAGCCGCGGUAAUACGUAGGGUGCAAGCGUUAAUCGGAAUUACUGGGCGUAAAGCGUGCGCAGGCGGUUUUGUAAGUCUGAUGUGAAAUCCCCGGGCUCAACCUGGGAAUUGCAUUGGAGACUGCAAGGCUAGAAUCUGGCAGAGGGGGGUAGAAUUCCACGUGUAGCAGUGAAAUGCGUAGAUAUGUGGAGGAACACCGAUGGCGAAGGCAGCCCCCUGGGUCAAGAUUGACGCUCAUGCACGAAAGCGUGGGGAGCAAACAGGAUUAGAUACCCUGGUAGUCCACGCCCUAAACGAUGUCUACUAGUUGUCGGGUCUUAAUUGACUUGGUAACGCAGCUAACGCGUGAAGUAGACCGCCUGGGGAGUACGGUCGCAAGAUUAAAACUCAAAGGAAUUGACGGGGACCCGCACAAGCGGUGGAUGAUGUGGAUUAAUUCGAUGCAACGCGAAAAACCUUACCCACCCUUGACAUGGCUGGAAUCCUUGAGAGAUCAGGGAGUGCUCGAAAGAGAACCAGUACACAGGUGCUGCAUGGCUGUCGUCAGCUCGUGUCGUGAGAUGUCGGGUUAAGUCCCGCAACGAGCGCAACCCUUGUCAUUAGUUGCUACGAAAGGGCACUCUAAUGAGACUGCCGGUGACAAACCGGAGGAAGGUGGGGAUGACGUCAAGUCCUCAUGGCCCUUAUGGGUAGGGCUUCACACGUCAUACAAUGGUACAUACAGAGCGCCGCCAACCCGCGAGGGGGAGCUAAUCGCAGAAAGUGUAUCGUAGUCCGGAUUGUAGUCUGCAACUCGACUGCAUGAAGUUGGAAUCGCUAGUAAUCGCGGAUCAGCAUGUCGCGGUGAAUACGUUCCCGGGUCU